rnacentral:rRNA from 1 species
UACGUAGGGUGCGAGCGUUAAUCGGAAUUACUGGGCGUAAAGGGCGCGUAGGCGGAUAUCUAAGUUGGGGGUGAAAUCCCGGGGCUCAACCUCGGAAUUGCCUUCAAAACUGGAUAUCUUGAGUUCGGGAGAGGUGAGUGGAACUCCGAGUGUAGAGGUGAAAUUCGUAGAUAUUCGGAAGAACACCAGUGGCGAAGGCGACUCACUGGCCCGAUACUGACGCUGAGGCGCGAAAGCGUGGGGAGCAAACAGG